CCUACGGGUGGGCAGCAGUGGGGAAUAUUGCGCAAUGGGGGCAACCCUGACGCAGCAACGCCGCGUGAUUGAAGAAGGCCUUCGGGUUGUAAAGAUCUUUAAUCGGGGAAGAAUGGGGAAGGUACCAGAAGAAUAAGCUCCGGCUAACUACGUGCCAGCAGCCGCGGUAAUACGUAGGGAGCAAGCGUUAUACGGAUUUACUGGGUGUAACGGGCGUGUAGGCGGGCACGCAAGCCAGAAGUGAAAUCUGGGGGCUUAACCCCCAAACUGCUUUUGGAACUGCGUGUCUUGAGUGAUGGAGAGGCAGGCGGAAUUCCCAGUGUAGCGGUGAAAUGCGUAGAUAUUGGGAGGAACACCAGUGGCGAAGGCAGCCUACCAGCGCGCAACUGACACUCAUGCACGAAAGCGUGGGUAUCGAACAGUAUUAGAUACCCCAGUAGUC
rnacentral:rRNA from 1 species